rnacentral:misc_RNA from 1 species
GAUGAAGAACGCAGUGAAAUGCGAUAAGUAAUGUGAAUUGCAGAAUUCAGUGAAUCAUCGAAUCUUUGAACGCACAUUGCGCCCCCUGGUAUUCCGGGGGGCAUGCCUGUCCGAGCAUCAUUACAACCCUCAAGCUCAGCUUGGUGUUGGGCCCCGCCGCCCCGGCGGGCCCUAAAGUCAGUGGCGGUGCCGUCCGGCUCCGAGCGUAGUAAUUCUUCUCGCUCUGGAGGUCCGGUCGUGUGCUCGCCAGCAACCCCCAAUUUUUUUCAGGUUGACCUCGGAUCAGGUAGGGAUACCCGCUGAACUUAAGCAUAUCAAUAAGCGGAGGA